AUGAAAUGAUCAUAUAUGUAGUAAAGAGUGGCCGGCCAUGUGGUGUUUUAGAGUGGUGUGAACCCAAAUUUUAUAAAAUUUAAAUGCCAUUUAAUUAAGAGGUCAAGUUGGCAAGUGGGUAGAAAAGCACUCAAGUACCUUGUGAUAUUUUGAAGAGUAUUGUGAACAAUUCCCACACUAAGAACCGAUCACUCUCCAUCUCUCAUUCACUAUCAUCUUUUUUGAAGACCUCUCAAAGUGUUCUCUCCAUUUUUCAAGCCCAAGAACACCAAGGAAACUUUGAGGCUAAGUCUUGGUCUAGGAAGUAUUUUUCCCUAAGGGUUUUUGAAAGGUUUUGGAGGAGCCAAAGCUAAUAGGAAGGUCCAAACCUUAAGCAAGAACACCAAAGAGUAUUGGCUAAGCGUAAUUGGACUGAACGUUGGAGGGUGAAACCCUGCUGAGCGCUAAGGACUCCAAGAUUUUUAUCUAGAUGUGAAUUAAUUUAUCCUUGGUUAUCAGGCAUGACCAUAAGUUUGCCAGGACGCUUUAGCAUUCUUGAAAUUGAUUGUGUAAGAACAAGGGAAAGGCAGAGCAGUGAGCGCUGGAGUCUUCCUUGCAAAUGUACAUGUGGACCGACCUUUUGGGGAAGCCUUUUUAUUUUUGGAAAUGUUGUGUAAUUUUCCUAAACUAGGCUCACUCUAAUCUUUAUAAAACAUGUUUGUAACUAAAUGUUAAGUAUGGCCAUACGACUUUUUAAAAAGUUUUUUUUUCUAUGGGUUUUUGAGACAUUUUGUUAAAUGAAAACAUUUAUAU